rnacentral:rRNA from 1 species
AUUGAACGCUGGCGGCGUGCCUAACACAUGCAAGUCGAGCGGUAACAGGUGUAGCAAUACAUGCUGACGAGCGGCGAACGGGUGAGUAAUGCUUUGGAAUCUUCCCAGUAGUGGGGAAUAACCAGUCGAAAGAUUGGCUAAUACCGCAUACGUCUGUAAAGGGAAAGCGGGGGACUCGCCUCUUCUUCGGAAGAGAGGCCUCGCGCUAUUGGAUGAGCCAAAGUCGGAUUAGCUAGUUGGUGGGGUAAUGGCCUACCAAGGCGACAAUCCGUAGCUGGUCUGAGAGGACGACCAGCCACACCGG